rnacentral:misc_RNA from 1 species
AUUUCUUUGAAGUGUCUCUUGAUGUGCUUGAAUUUGAGAUCCACUCGUUGCUUUACAUGUCGCUCCCAUCGUUGCAAUGUUUCAUCCCUAUGGUAAAGGGUUCUAGCUCCCUGAUCACUGUCGCAAGAACCAUUAUAAUCGCUAGCUCCAUCAAAGUAAGCCAUUGUGAUUGAGGUGAUUUUUCCUACUCUAAUACCACUUAACCCAACGUGAAGCUUGAAAAGAUAACACACUCGCACACGAGUGAAAAAUUGAGAGAA